rnacentral:rRNA from 1 species
GCAGCAGGCGCGCAAAUUACCCACUCCCAGCUCGGGGAGGUAGUGACGAAAAAUAACGAUACGGGACUCAUCCGAGGCCCCGUAAUCGGAAUGAGUACACUCUAAACCCUUUAACGAGGAUCAAUUGGAGGGCAAGUCUGGUGCCAGCAGCCGCGGUAAUUCCAGCUCCAAUAGCGUAUAUUAAAGUUGUUGCGGUUAAAAAGCUCGUAGUCGAAUUUGUGUCUCGCGCCGUCCGGUUCAUCGUCCGCGGUGUCAACUGGCGUGUCGUGAGACGUCCUGCCGGCGGGUCGUUCGCAAGAGCGGCCCAACUGACCCCGCCGCGGUGCUCUUCAUUGAGUGUCGAGGUGGGCCGGCACGUUUACUUUGAACAAACUAAGGUGCUUAAAGCAGGCUGAAAUUUUGCCAGAAUAUUUUAUGCAUGGAAUAAUGAAACAGGACCUCGAUUCUAUUUUGUUGGUUUCCGGAACCUCGAGGUAAUGAUUAACAGGAACGGAUGGGGGCAUUCGUAUUGCGACGUUAGAGGUGAAAUUCUUGGAUCGUCGCAAGACGGACAGAAGCGAAAGCAUUUGCCAAAAACGUUUUCAUUGAUCAAGAACGAAAGUUAGAGGUUCGAAGGCGAUCAGAUACCGCCCUAGUUCUAACCAUAAACUAUGCCAGCUAGCGAUCCGCCGACGUUCCUCCGAUGACUCGGCGGGCAGCUUCCGGGAAACCAAAGCUUUUGGGUUCCGGGGGAAGUAUGGUUGCAAAGCUGAAACUUAAAGGAAUUGACGGAAGGGCACCACCAGGAGUGGAGCCUGCGGCUUAAUUUGACUCAACACGGGAAACCUCACCAGGCCCGGACACCGGAAGGAUUGACAGAUUGAGAGCUCUUUCUUGAUUCGGUGGGUGGUGGUGCAUGGCCGU